CAGAGGAGGGAAAGGCAGUUUCCUUAGACCCACUGCUUUCUCUAGUCUCCAUUGUGCUUAUUACACCUUGACACGUGUUUGCUAACUUAUUUGUUGACUUCUCUCCCGGACCCUCGACUUCAUUCACUGCUGUAUUCUCAGUACCUAGAACAGUGCUUGGAACGUGGCGGGUGCACAUAUUGGUGGAAAGAACGAUUCUCGGGAGAGCGGGGCUCAGCGACAUCGCCAAGUGAUCUGUAGUCUUGGAGCCGCCCAGGGUUGGUGGUACCCUAGAGCACACCAGACUUGCAGAGAAAGCAGACUCAGAGGAAGCUGAGGCAUAACUGCUCAAGAGCCAGCAGUACGAUGUGCAAUUUUCCUCUGAUAGUUCCUGGGUACUGUUGCCACGGUGAUAAUGGCUGUGCCAGUGCCGUUAUCUAUCAACCGACAAUUCCUGGAUUCCAGGUAAAUCAGAGGAACAAACCUGAACAGAAAUAUACAGGAAGUGAUGUGAUGCUGAAGCUUAACGCUUAUUUCAGAAGUCUGGUAUCUGGUGCUCUUAACAGCAGAAACUAUAUUAUUUGCAAAAUCACCACGCUUUUACUUGUAUUAUAUAGUAAUUUUUUAAAAAAUAAAUAUUGACAAUUUGUUCUUGAAAGCCUGAAUUGUUUAUUGCCUACCCUAAACUGUCUAAUUCUGCUCUUGUGUCAACUGGAAUAGGGAAGAGUAUUUGCAAGCUUAAGAUCUGAGGAUCCAGGAGUUCCGUGGUGGCUCAGUGGUUAACGAAUCCAACUAGGAACCAUGAGGCCUUGCUCAGUGGGUUGAGGAUCCAGCAUUGCCAUGAGCUGUGGUGUAGGUCGCAGAUGCGGCUCAGAUCUGGUGUUGCUAUGGGCUGUGGUAUAGGCCGGUGGCUACAGCUGACUGAACCACUAGCCUAGGAACCUCCAUAUGCUGUGGCGUAGCCCUAGAAAAGGCAAAAGGACAAAAAAAUCUGAGGAUCCAGAGUUGUAGAGCUAGUCUUGGGCUAGAUCCUUUAAGCUAGUCAUGGGGAGUCAUGCAAGUAUUGUUAGACAUUUUGUUAAAUUGAGAAUACGCCGUCAUUAAAGUUUAAGCAUGAUCAUUGGGCCAGAGAAUCAAAGGCUGUGUUGUCCAAACCGACAGUAGAGUUGCUGUGUACAGUCAAGUAUAGUACGUUUGUCUGGAAUGCAGGGAUGUGGAUGGCAUCUCAGGGCCCUUUCAAGGAGCUAAGUGAGAUGGCUUUGACACCCUGAUCAAGGCCAGGAAAGCAGCUCAGGUAUCUAAACCCCCCAAAUAGAAACAACAGACCUAAAUUUAAGGUUUUAAUAAAACAACCAAAAAUGUCA
rnacentral:lncRNA from 1 species